rnacentral:misc_RNA from 1 species
GUAAGCUAGGAAUUGUCAUUUAAAUUUGUCACGACAUUUAAAUGACUUAUUUUACACAUUUGGAUUUUAUGAAAAAAUGUUUAAGAUUCCGCAAUUUUGCAAAUCGGCCAUUUCAGUGAUUUGCCCGGCAGGAUGUCAAUUUCAGUUUCAUGCGGUUUGACAAUCUCACCAAAUAUCGUUUGUCCUGCAACCAAAAUGUCAACAAAUUAUUGUCAGCACCAGGUAUGAUUGAUGUUGCCACACAUGAGUUCACUACACCUGUCAGGGAGGUUCUGAAACCUGAACAAAUGCCAGCAUGGGAAAGUUCACAGGCCUACAGAGAUCUUGUUGGGUUUAUUAUAGCCAUGAACGAAGCUGUGAAAAAUAAAAGUUUAAAUGAUGAAUGUCAUAUAUCUCAGCUCACUACAAAUCUGUUAGACAUGUUAAACACAAUAUCCUCAUGGAUAGAUGAGAUCCCGCCAGUAGAUCAACCGCAGAGGUUUGGCAACAAAGCUUUCAAGGAUGUAUACUCUAGACUACAGGAGAAAGGUGAAUCUAUAGUUAAAGCUGCAUUAGAUGAGCAGUACCAAAGGGCUGCCCCAGAAAUUUAUAUGUAUUUGGUGGAAAGUAUUGGGAAUUCUACCAGAAUAGAUUAUGGAUCAGGUCAUGAGUUAUCAUUUAUUGCAUUUUUGUGCUGCCUUUUUAAAAUUGGUGCCUACACACAAGAGGACUCGGUAGCAGCAGUUAAUAAGGUUUUUCAAAGGUAUAUAGAAGUGAUGAGGAAGAUGCAGCAGACAUAUAACAUGGAGCCUGCAGGCAGCCAUGGCGUCUGGAGCCUUGAUGAUUAUCAGUUCGUACCUUUUCUCUGGGGAAGCUCACAGUUACUAGAUCACAAAAGAAUUCACCCCAAGUCUUUCCCAAAGCCAGAAGUAUAUGAAUAUUUUGCUAAGGACUACAUGUUUUUAGGUUGUGUAAAGUUUAUAAACCAGGUAAAAACGGGUCCGUUUGCUGAGCACUCUAACCAGUUGUGGAACAUCAGUGGAGUGCCCCACUGGCAUAAAGUGAACUCUGGACUUGUGAAAAUGUACAAGGCAGAGGUACUUGCAAAGUUCCCUGUAGUGCAGCACUUCUUAUUUGGCUCCAUACUGUCCAUAAAGCCUGCGUGAUGACCACUGGGCAGUUUUAAGACCUGGACAGCUUCACAAUUGACCUCAUGGACAUUGCUAACAUACAAUGUGAACAAAUGCUUUUAAAUGAGUUCUAACAGUUACACGGAUGAGAUUUUUCUGACUGUCCAUGGAUUUCUGGCCUAUUUGGGAGCCAAAAAUAUCAUUGGCCUAGGUAACCCCCUGGAACCCAGGCCAUAUUUUAUGACUUUUCAAUAAAUAGCAGUCUCACCUCUGUGGUUCCAGUACGAGCACAAGCCACUGAACAGAGGAAUUAUUAGAUCUGAAUGUUACAUACAUACACAUUCAGUGUUUAUUGAUAGUGCUACAGCUUGAGAUCUCUGCUUGGGAUGAUGUAUCAGCUUGAGGGCCUUGCUUUGGAUUCUAAGUUGACUGUUAAUAAGGUUAAAUGGAAAUUUAUUUUGAAAUCCUAACCCUUGCAUUCAUCUACAGGGCCAUAAAAUGAGACACCAAAGCCGUGGAAAAUAUUAAGACGUUUCAUCAAUAGAUGGCAUACAUGCAGUGUUCUUACAUCAGUGAAGAAGGCAGAUUGUUGAAGCACUAAGAAUGUGAGCUCACAGCUUCAAAAACUGGGAACUCUGGAUUAGCAUUUUGAGAGGAAUCUACAAAAUAAAACAGUAUUUAUUAUAAACAAUCA